AGCACCCGUAGUGGCGGGCGCGCUCCUACUCUGAUUCGCUUGUCGCCGGGCUCUGCGGAGACGCGGUAAAUGGGAGCAAGUCCAGCUUUCGUCCUGAGAGGACUAGGAAGGCCUGCGCUAGGGCUCUGGACUACAUUUCCCUGAGACCCCGAAGGUCGACCCCACGUGCUGCGGGAUUUCAGUUGCUUUUUGGGGAUGCUGUACUUUUCCAAGAGAGGAAUCCAGGGAAACACAACUCAGGUUCUGAGGACUCUCUACUCCUAAGCCUGAUGUGAUUUCCCUAUUGGAGCAAGGCAAAGAACCAUGGAUGAUUUCGAGGGACAUUAUGGAAGGAUGGUGCCCAGGCGGUAAAUUUUGUGACAUUUGAAUAAAGAAAAAAGAAAGCUGGGGCAGAAAAAGCCGUUAAUGCAAAUGAAGACAGGAAAGUGGACCUCAAUCCAAACAUAUCAACAAUUACAAUAAAUGCAAAUGGUGUAAACAUAUCAAAUCAAAGAUUUCCAAAUGGAUAAAUAUACAAGAUCAAAUUAUAUGCUGUCUAUAAGAAACUCACCUCAAAUAUUGGUCAAUUAAAAGUACAAGAAUAGAAAGAGGUAUAGCAUGCAGACACUAUAAAAAAGAUGGGCAAAGUUGUUAUAUUAACAUCAAACAUAUUUCAAAGAAAGAUGAUCACCAUGAUAAAGUCGGACAUUACACACCCUGAAGAGUCAGUUCAUUGAAAAGACAUAGCAUUCCUAAACCUUUAUGUACCUAAUAACAGAUUCAAGGCCAGGAAACAAAAGUGAGAGAAAGGAAAGGAGAAACAGAUAAACCCACCAUGUUAACUGAAGACUUCAACAUGCUUCUCUCAGUAAUUGAUAAAACUACUGGAUGAAAAAGUCAGCAAGUAAAUGGAAGAACUGAGCAACACCAUUAUGUGACUGAAUGUAAUUGACGUUUGUAGUACAAUUUGCCCAACAAUAUUAGAGUCCUAACUCUUCUCAAGCGUAUAUUGAAUGUUCUUCAAAGUAUCAUGAAGCAAAUCUUAAAAAUGUAAGGAACUGGGGCUCGGGUUAUUGCUAAGUUGGUAGAGUGCCUGCCUUGCAUGCACAAGGCCCUGGGUUCAAUCUCCAGCACCACAAAAAAAAAAAAAAAAAAAAAAAAAAAAAGUGAAGAACUGAAAUAAUACAUUGUAUGUUCUCUGACCAUAAUGGUAUUAAAUUAGAAAUCAAUUAACAGAAGGAUAAAGUUAAACCCUCCAAUCAUAUAGACAAUAAACAAUACAUUUCUGAGUAAUGCAUGAGUCGUGUAUUACUUUCUUCAUUUGAGGAAGAAGAUUUGACAGUAAAAGACUUGGAUACUUCAUCAGAGAAUGACAAAUAAACACAAAAGAAAUGUGUUUGGCAUCAUUAGCUAUUGGAGAAAUAUAAGUUAAAACCAUGAUAAAAUGCCAUUAAAAAUAACAAGUAACUAUAGAAUGGCUAAAAUCAAAUACUGCCAAUACCAAGUGAUAGCAAGGAUAUCGAGCUACUGGAAUGCACACAUUGCAAAAUAGUACAACCACUUUGGCAGAGUUUGGAAAUUUCUUUUGAACUUAAAUAUUGUAUAACCCAGGGAAAUGAAAAACAUUCUCAGAACAACCUGUACAUGGACAUCUGUAGCAGUUCUGUUCAUGAUUGCCCCAAACUGAAAACAACCCAGAUGUCCUUGAACAAGUGCAUGGCACAUCCAUUCAAUGGGAUGUCAUUCAUCAUUAAAAAGGAAUAAGCCAUCAACACCUGCACACAAGCAAGCCAUAUCCACAGAUGGAUCUCAAGAGCAUUAUACUGAAGGGGAAUAAAUCUCUGAAGAUUAUAUACUAUAUGAUUCCAUUUAUAUUACAAUCUAGAAAUGAAAAAAAUUAUAGUAAUGGAGAAAAGAUCAGUUGUUUACCAGAGGUUAGGAACAAGGAAAGAGAGUGACUGUAAAGGGAUGACAUGAAGCAGUUUAUUGGUUGAUGGAACUAUUCUGAGUAAUGGUGGUUACAUGAAUCUCUACAUGUAUCAAAAUUCAUACCAUGGCACUGGAAAACUUUGUGUGUGUGUGUGUGUGUGGUAUUGGGGAUUGAACCAAGGGCAGUCUACAGUGAGCUACAUCCUUU